rnacentral:piRNA from 1 species
UAGAACAGAACUGAACCGGCUUUAC